rnacentral:siRNA from 1 species
AGGGCCCAAAAGUCCGGGGUGAA